rnacentral:rRNA from 1 species
GAGUUUGAUCGUGGCUCAGAGCGAACGCUGGCGGCAGGCCUAACACAUGCAAGUCGAACGCCCGUGGCAACACGGGAGUGGCAGACGGGAGAGUAACACGUGGGAACGUACCCUUUGGUUCGGAACAACCCAGGGAAACUUGGGCUAAUACCGGAUAAGCCCUCACGGGGAAAGAUUUAUCGCCGAAGGAUCGGCCCGCGUCUGAUUAGCUAGUUGGUGGGGUAACGGCCCACCAAGGCGACGAUCAGUAGCUGGUCUGAGAGGAUGAUCAGCCUCACUGGGACUGAGACACGGCCCAGACUCCUACGGGAGGCAGCAGUGGAGAAUAUUGGACAAUGGGCGCAAGCCUGAUCCAGCCAUGCCGCGUGGGUGAUGAAGGCCCUAGGGUUGUAAAGCCCUUUCGGCGGGGAAGAUAAUGACGGUACCCGCAGAAGAAGCCCCGGCUAACUUCGUGCCAGCCGCCGCCGUAAC